CACGGGAGUAGCAAUACAACUGGUGGCGACCGGCGCACGGGUGAGUAACGCGUAUGCAACCCAUCUAUCAGAGGGGAAUAACCCGGCGAAAGUCGGACUAAUACCGCAUAAAACAGGGACACCGCAUGGUGAUAUUUGUUAAAGAAAUUCGCUGAUAGAUGGGCAUGCGUUCCAUUAGGUAGUUGGUGAGGUAACGGCUCACCAAGCCGACGAUGGAUAGGGGAACUGAGAGGUUGGUCCCCCACACUGGUACUGAGACACGGACCAGACUCCUACGGGAGGCAGCAGUGAGGAAUAUUGGUCAAUGGGCGAGAGCCUGAACCAGCCAAGUCGCGUGAAGGAAGAAGGAUCUAUGGUUCGUAAACUUCUUUUGCAGGGGAAUAAAGUGCAGGACGUGUCCUGUUUUGUAUGUACCCUGAGAAUAAGGAUCGGCUAACUCCGUGCCAGCAGCCGCGGUAAUACGGAGGAUCCGAGCGUUAUCCGGAUUUAUUGGGUUUAAAGGGUGCGUAGGUGGUUUGAUAAGUCAGCGGUGAAAGUUUGCAGCUUAACUGUAAAAAUGCCGUUGAAACUGUCGGACUUGAGUGUAAAUGAGGUAGGCGGAAUGCGUGGUGUAGCGGUGAAAUGCUUAGAUAUCACGAAGAACUCCGAUUG
rnacentral:rRNA from 1 species